CGUGUAGGCGGUUUACUAAGUCAGUUGUUAAAGCCCAUGGCUUACCCAUGGAUAGGCAAUUGAUACUGGUGAACUAAGAGGGCAAGAGAGAGAAGUGGAAUUCUCGGAGUAGCGGUAAAAUGCGUAGAUCUCGAGAGGAACACCGAUGGCGAAGGCAGCUUCUUGGCUUGUACCUGACGCUGAGGCGCGAAAGCGUGGGGAGCAAACAGGAUUAGAUACCCUGGUAGUCC
rnacentral:rRNA from 1 species